ensembl:miRNA
AGGUCAAGGUUCACAGGGGAUCAAGAAAUAUUAUUCUUGUAUAAUCUGUUUACUUUGACCU